GAAAUGCGAUAAGUAAUGUGAAUUGCAGAAUUCAGUGAAUCAUCGAAUCUUUGAACGCACAUUGCGCUCGCCAGUAUUCUGGCGAGCAUGCCUGUUCGAGCGUCAUUUCAACCAUCAAGCUCUGCUUGCGUUGGGGAUCCGCGGCUGCCCGCGGUCCCUCAAAAACAGUGGCGGGCUCGCUAGUCACACCGAGCGUAGUAACUCUACAUCGCUAUGGUCGUGCGGCGGGUUCUUGCCGUAAAACCCCCAAUUUCUAAGGUCGACCUCGGAUCAGGUAGGAAUACCCGCUGAACUUAAGC
rnacentral:misc_RNA from 1 species